rnacentral:misc_RNA from 1 species
UACGUAGGUGGCAAGCGUUGUCCGGAAUUACUGGGCGUAAAGCGCGCGCAGGCGGUCCUUUAAGUCUGAUGUGAAAGCCCACGGCUCAACCGUGGAGGGUCAUUGGAAACUGGGGGACUUGAGUACAGAAGAGGAAAGCGGAAUUCCACGUGUAGCGGUGAAAUGCGUAGAGAUGUGGAGGAACACCAGUGGCGAGGGCGGCUUUCUGGUCUGUAACUGACGCUGAGGUACGAAAGCAUGGGGAGCAAACAGG